rnacentral:rRNA from 1 species
UGGGGAAUAUUGGUCAAUGGACGCAAGUCUGAACCAGCCAUGCCGCGUGGAGGAUGACGGCCCUCUGGAUUGUAAACUUCUUUUCUCUGGGACGAAACCCUCGAUUUCUAUCGAGCCUGACGGUACCAGAGGAAUAAGCACCGGCUAACUCCGUGCCAGCAGCCGCGGUAAUACGGAGGGUGCAAGCGUUAUCCGGAUUCACUGGGUUUAAAGGGUGCGUAGGUGGGCAGAUAAGUCAGUGGUGAAAUCUCUGGGCUUAACCCGGAAACUGCCAUUGAUACUAUUUGUCUUGAAUUCUCUGGAGGUAAGCGGAAUAUGUCAUGUAGCGGUGAAAUGCUUAGAUAUGACAUAGAACACCCAUUGCGAAGGCAGCUUACUACGGAGACAUUGACACUGAGGCACGAAAGCGUGGGGAUCAAA